GAUAUUUUGGAGGCUCACAAGGGCCCAUUUACAGGACAAGGCCAUAAGGGUCUUUAUGAAAUCUUAACAACGUCAUGGCAUGCUCAAUUAUCUCUUAACCUAGCUAUGCUAGGCUCUACAACCAUUGUUGUAGCUCAUCAUAUGUAUUCUAUGCCUCCCUAUCCAUACCUAGCUACUGACUAUGGUACACAACUUUCCUUGUUCACACACCACAUGUGGAUUGGCGGAUUUCUAAUAGUCGGUGCUGCUGCACAUGCAGCAAUUUUUAUGGUAAGAGACUAUGAUCCAACUACUCGAUACAACGAUCUAUUAGAUCGCGUCCUUAGACACCGCGAUGCAAUCAUAUCCCACC
rnacentral:rRNA from 1 species